rnacentral:rRNA from 1 species
CAGUCGCCGCGGUAAUACAGAGGAUGCAAGCGUUAUCCGGAAUGAUUGGGCGUAAAGCGUCUGUAGGUGGCUUUUCAAGUCCGCCGUCAAAUCCCAGGGCUCAACCCUGGACAGGCGGUGGAAACUACCAAGCUGGAGUACGGUAGGGGCAGAGGGAAUUUCCAAUGGAGCGGUGAAAUGCGUUGAGAUCGAAAAGAACACCAACAGCGAAAGCACUCUGCUGGGACGACACUGACACUAAGAGACGAAAGCUAGGGGAGCAAAUGGGAUUAGAUACCCCCGUAGUCCCUGUCUCUUAUAC